rnacentral:rRNA from 1 species
GCAGUCGAGCGGCAGCGGAAGUAGCUUGCUACUUUGCCGGCGAGCGGCGGACGGGUGAGUAAUGUCUGGGAAACUGCCUGAUGGAGGGGGAUAACUACUGGAAACGGUAGCUAAUACCGCAUAACGUCGCAAGACCAAAGAGGGGGACCUUCGGGCCUCUUGCCAUCAGAUGUGCCCAGAUGGGAUUAGCUAGUAGGUGGGGUAACGGCUCACCUAGGCGACGAUCCCUAGCUGGUCUGAGAGGAUGACCAGCCACACUGGAACUGAGACACGGUCCAGACUCCUACGGGAGGCAGCAGUGGGGAAUAUUGCACAAUGGGCGCAAGCCUGAUGCAGCCAUGCCGCGUGUGUGAAGAAGGCCUUCGGGUUGUAAAGUACUUUCAGCGGGGAGGAAGGCGUUGAGGUUAAUAACCUCAGCGAUUGACGUUACCCGCAGAAGAAGCACCGGCUAACUCCGUGCCAGCAGCCGCGGUAAUACGGAGGGUGCAAGCGUUAAUCGGAAUUACUGGGCGUAAAGCGCACGCAGGCGGUCUGUCAAGUCGGAUGUGAAAUCCCCGGGCUCAACCUGGGAACUGCAUUCGAAACUGGCAGGCUAGAGUCUUGUAGAGGGGGGUAGAAUUCCAGGUGUAGCGGUGAAAUGCGUAGAGAUCUGGAGGAAUACCGGUGGCGAAGGCGGCCCCCUGGACAAAGACUGACGCUC